rnacentral:rRNA from 1 species
UAAGUCCCGCAACGAGCGCAACCCUCGCCAUUAGUUGCCAUCAUUUAGUUGGGAACUCUAAUGGGACUGCCGGUGCUAAGCCGGAGGAAGGGGGGGAUGACGUCAAGUCCUCAUGGGCCUUACAGGGUGGGCUACACACGUGCUACAAUGGCGACUACAGAGGGUUAAUCCUUAAAAGUCGUCUCAGUUCGGAUUGUCCUCUGCAACUCGAGGGCAUGAA